rnacentral:rRNA from 1 species
CACGGGGGGGAGCAAGCGUUGUUCGGAAUCACUGGGCGUAAAGGGCGUGUAGGCGGUCAGGUAAGUGGGAUGUGAAAUGCCCCCGGCUCACCCGGGGACCGGCAUCCCAUACUGCUUGGCUUGAGUACGGGAGAGGAUGUGGGAAUUCCUGGUGUAGCGGUGAAAUGCGUAGAUAUCAGGAGGAACGCCGGUGGCGAAGGCGCACAUCUGGCCCGAUACUGACGCUGAGGCGCGAAAGCUAGGGGAGCAAACGGG